rnacentral:rRNA from 1 species
CACGCAGUAAACGAUGAUCACUAGCUGUUUGCGAUACAGUGUAAGCGGCACAGCGAAAGCGUUAAGUGAUCCACCUGGGGAGUACGCCGGCAACGGUGAAACUCAAAGGAAUUGACGGGG